UACGUAGGCAGCGAGCGUUGUUCGGAGUUACUGGGCGUAAGGAGUGCGUAGGCGGUUUUCUAAGUUUGGUGUGAAAUCUCCCGGCUUAACUGGGAGGGUGCGCCGAAAACUGGAAGGCUUGAGUAUGGGAGAGGUAAGCGGAAUUCCUGGUGUAGCGGUGAAAUGCGUAGAUAUCAGGAGGAACACCUGCGGUGUAGACGGCUUACUGGACCAUAACUGACGCUGAGGCACGAAAGCGUGGGUAGCAAACAGG
rnacentral:rRNA from 1 species